CGAAAUGCGAUACUUGGUGUGAAUUGCAGAAUCCCGUGAACCAUCGAGUUUUUGAACGCAAGUUGCGCCCGAAACCUUUAGGUUGAGGGCACGUCUGCCUGGGCGUCACACACAGCGUCG
rnacentral:rRNA from 1 species